CAUAAGGAACAUCCUGGAGCAGGGAACUGGUCGUGUCUAUACAACACCCCAUUUCCUGGGUACAGCAUCCAGGUAAAAUUAGACUCUAGUAAGCCACCCUGAGCGCGUGCUCCUUCUUCUUCUCCCAGGCUCCGCAGUUGUCCCUGUUCAUUGCUUUCCCCGCUCACAACUGGCAAGUGUCACCGGACCCUAGCACAGGAGAAGAAUGCCACUUUCAGCAUUUUGAUCAGCUGCGGUACUGGAGCAAUCGAGGUAAGGCCACCACAGGCACAAAAGGAUGAAAGUUUGUGCAUCUGAUGACGGGCGACUGGGGUAACCUUAGAACAGUAGGAAAGACCCCACCAGAGGAGAGGGACUCCUGCGUUAAUGAUUACAGUGAAGCAGAAGUAAGGACAACAGCAAGAACACCUGGGAAAAACAGGAGGACUUUGGUGAAGUUGAAAAUGAGGUGGAAAGAGAACUCUGAAUUGCAAGAAGCACAGAGGAAAGAGACUCUUGGUCUGUGAAAAACUGGUAGUUUGGAACGAAUGACCAGCGGUAAGAGAAGGCAAAAGAAGAAGAUUCUGAAAUAUUCGGGAACACUUGCUAUCAAAAGAAGGAGGUUUAAAAUUACAAAUGGAAGAAAAUGAAAAGUCGAGGCAGUACUGAGGAGGGGCGGCUUUACCAUAUUCAGAUCAGACUGCUGGUUCCCAGAGGGGAGCUGCAGAAGCUGGACGGAACCCCGGGAUUAUUAGUGAGGUGGGUGGAGCACGGAGCAGCCGGAGCUCUGAUGUGGAUGUGGCUUUCAGAUGGUGCCAAGUUCGGGGAGAUAUGCGAAUGCUGUGGUUACAGAACACAGAGCAGCCCGGGCGCCCAACGUGGUUGCUGAGCGCCCAGAGGAUGCACUCAGAGAUGAAAGAUGGAUGCUCACAAUUUGGAAAUGAGAGCUUGAAUGAAGAAUUGAGAAGGCAAGUCUGUGGUCCACAUACACAGUCCCAGAGAAAUUCAGCACCCAGAGACUAAUAUCACUGAGAGAUCUAUGCACAAGUGCUCUCUCUGCUGAGAGACAAACCAAGACUCUGCUGUUCUGCUCAGCAUAGACCAAGAAGACAUGAAAUCCCUAAUGGAAGGAAACUUAGAAGAUUGCCUGCUGAAUAAGGUGGACUUGAGGCGCCAGUGGAUUUCCCAGACGGUGGAAGAGGUGCAGAAAAUUGUCCAUCAUCUGACCACAGAAAUCAGCUACCAAGACAUUCGAUUUCAAGCCGUCCUUUACUCUGACACGUACAAUGAGAACAUUAAGGUUUUGGCCCCCACCCAGCUCCUCAUCACAGUCCCCAUGAGAGGCCUGGCCGGUUACAGGGAGGCCCGGCAGCAGCGCUGGCGCUACUACACCCUGCAGGGCGCCCGGCUGCCCUGCCCCCUGCGGGACCCAGAGGGCCUGCAGCAGUGGCUGGAGGUGGAGCAGUUUCUGAAGAGCCUGUGGCAGUGGCACGAGGCAGAUGUGAACAUUGACGGAGACAUUGUGCCCGCCAAGGUCCUCCAGGUGUUCCGGAAACUGGUCGAAAACGCAAUUGAAACCUGUCACCUGUCAGGUAAGGUCAGCAUGCUAAUGGACCGCCCUGCAGUUCGAGUUGCCGUGGAAACCUCCACAGGUCUGGUGGAACUAGAGCUGACCCCCUCAGUGGAGAUCCCCACCGCCUGGUCCAAGAAAGCCCGGUGGCCUUCGUGUCUGAAGCGCUGGCCUUCUGCAGAGAGAGUGCAGUGCAUCAAGUCAUUUGGGUUUAGCUUGUUGGCCUGUUCGAACUAUCACUGGCAGCUGAGCUUCUUGCGGGCUGAACGGGUGCUGCUGGAGCAGCUGGAUGAGGACGGGGGCUGCCGCAGGAAGUGUCUUCAGGCCAUGAGGCAGAUGAAGGAGGACGUCUGGUGUCCAGGGAAAAGACCUGUGAUCACAUCCUACCACCUUCAGACAGUGCUCUUCUGGACUUGUGAGAAGUAUCCCCACCCAAAGGACUGGCGGGUCUUCAGCAGAGCGUUCCUGCGCCUGGUAAGGAAGCUGCACAAGUGCGUGAGCCAGCACUUUCUGAAACACUACUUCGUGCGGAAGAGCAACCUCCUGCGGUACGCCAAUUCAGGCGAGCUAGGGGCCCUGGCCCAGAAGCUGGCCUUCUUCCUGCAGAACCCCCAGAUCAGCCUGCCCUGAUGCUGCCCUGCGUGGGACGCUCUUGGACAUUUCAUUCAAGCUUGACCUCACUCUCUGUGGCUUGUUCCUCAGUCAGAGGCCAGGAUCCUGCCCAGGAGAGAAGCAACGGACGGCAGAGGAAAAUUCCAUCAACCCAGCAGCACUUCAGGGGGUAAAACCUGUGCCCCAAGAUGUCUGGUCCAGGCCUCCCUGCAGCCAAGCAAGCAUUUCUGCCCCCACUAGCUACCUCUUUGGGAGACGGCUCUCAUCAAGCUUCCCCGAGCCAUAGUUUCCGAACCGAUGACAGUUCUGAAUUUAUUUUCCCUUGCUCAGGCUCUGGUUGUCUGUCAGGGAAGAUGUAGAGAGAACCCCCGGAAGGUCAGGCAUCAGCCUGCUGCCCACGAGUGGUUCUCCAGCCCACUGACCACGGGCUCAUUAUUUUUCCAUUUGUAAAAUGGGACUGUUCCUAUGCCUCCCUCAGAGCAGGGCUGCGAGCCUACGGACUGUGCUGCUGCCCUUUCAAGGGGAAGGUGCUGGAUCCACACAGAGUGUUCCUCGCUGGUUCAGUGGCUGGUGUUGGCAUUCAGGAUCAGUGUCUACACCACUGAUUAAAUGAUUACGUCUGAUGGGUUCGCAUGCCCAUGUGCCCUCCAGUUCUCCUAAACUGUGGAUCUGCCUGCUUGCCUGGUGUUCUCUGAGAAGGCAGGAGUGGUUUUGAUGACUAGUGCAGUCAAAGAUGAGAGCGCAGCAACCCCAGUGACUGCCCUUCCUUGCUUCCCAUGCCGUGGGUCAGGGAUGAGACGUCCUUCUAUUUAUGGAAUGAACUCGGUACUGUGAUCUGCAUGGAAUGACUUUGGUGUCACUCACCUCUCAGUUCCUUCCUUUGCUCCCUUAGCGGUUCACUUCCUCAUUCAUUGAGAAAUAUAUACGCAUUAGGUACUGGGGAUGCAGCAAGAGCAAGGUGGGCAGGGACUCACCUGAUGCAGAUGAUGCCUAAUGGUAAAGACAGGAAAUGAACCACAGAUAAACACAUUUGAUUAUUACAAAUUGUAGCAAGUGGCCUGAAGAAACAGAAUAUGGAAAUAGAGCCACAGAGAGAUCCUUGAAGGAUGAAAAUGCAAACAGCUGAAAGGGAAGAAAAGGGGGCCAAGGGCAGACUUAGAGGGGCUGGCAUGAGCCAGAUCGCUUGGCCUUGUAAACCUGUGAAUUCCCAACAUUAUUUCACGUUACCGGAAGCCGUGAGAAAGAAGCAUCAACCGGCCAGCCCGUGUCCCUCGGUAAUGUUCCCAACUCAACAAGCAAUGACCAAGUACCAAGCACGCUGCCAGGCGCUGGUGAUCCCAUGACGGGUAAGACAUCAUUUUUGACCCGUGCGGGAGAAAAUAAAUGAGCCUUCACAGCAAGUGCAGUGGGGUCAUACACACGUUGCUAGGGAAGCACCAAUGAGGGUCACCCAGCUCAGCCUUGGGACUGAGGGCGUGCAGAUGGGGGAGCCUUCCAAGAGGGGGCAGCAGGUAAAAUGAGUCUGGAAAGAGAGGAAGCUAUUAGCCAGGAGAAAGUGGGGGGAGGGUGAUGAGGUAGAAAACAGCCUAGACAGACAGAGAGAGAGAGACAGAGGGUGCAAAAGUUGUGAGCGGGACGUGAGGUAGAGAGUGUCACGGGCUGAAGCUGGAGCGGGGCGCUGAAGUUUGUGCCUCACAGCUAGAUGCUGGACUCUACCAGAUUCAGAUGCUGGCCCCGUCACUUAGGACCUGCGUGGCUUUAAGCAAAGUACUUAACCUUUGGUGCCUCAUCUGUCACAUGUGGUUGGGAAGAGUACCUGUCCCAUGGGGCUGCUGAGAGCAUUAGAUGAGACAGUACAUGCAAGGCAUGCAGAACUGUGCCAGCCGAUAAUGAGCCCUUGGCGAACGGUGGUGAUCGUUGUUGUUGCUGAGGUCAUUGCUCUUAUUAUGCUCUCAGUGAUGGGAAGGCACUGAAAAACUGUGAGCACCUACUGUGUACCUGCCUUUACGUGAGUCACCAGGAAUACAGUGGUCUUACUUGUCUUAUGACACCUGUACGAGACGUAGGCCUCACAGAAAUCCAGUCAAAAAGGGUUGUGACUAUGGGGCUCCCUGGUGCCAAUUGCCGGCGUGUUCAGGAAAUGGUAAUGAUCCAGCCAUCCUUUGCUGAAGUUGCUUAGGAUCAGCUGCAAGCGUAAGAGUGGGUAUCUGAGAGCCCAGGGAGGCAGGUUGGCCAAAAGAAGGGCAUUAAGAACUCCUCAAGUCGAAAGCCACGUGCUUCCCACUUUCUCCUAAAAGGAAAAUACCGAACAUGUUUAAUAGUGGAGGAAAGUAUCAAGCCUUCAUGGUACCAGACUCACACUUGGUCCUGGACAGCUUUUCUUUGCCUCAGUGGCCCUACCAACUCAGCAACUCUCCGAAAUUGCUUUGGCCUCAUGGAAUCCUUCCGUGGGUCUCUGCUUCUUCAGACCCUCUCUGCGUGUAGUCCAAUCCACAGCUUGGACAGACACGGGAGGCCCUCACCCAUGAGUUGGGCCCACCUGGGUUUCUCCGCCCUGGAAGUGGAGUCCACAACUCAGCCAGGGCUUGUGCUGGACAGAAGGGGAGUCACUUCCUGCCCUCCCUUGUAGAGCAUCCCUCUAGCUGCUCUGCUCCUGGGACCUUCUCAGACACAAACUUAGCCUGCAGGAGAGGUGGGGAGGAAGUGCCAAUUGGCUGCAGGCAGGUCUGCACCCCGUCAGCUCAUUCCUCCUGCUGACAGUGCAGUGGGUUGAGAGAGCUCCCCUCCUUCUGUGGAGCCCUUCCAAGGCCUCUAAGCUGCUGGUGACCUGCAAGUUCAGUUGCCUCUCCGUGUGGGUUGGCCAUGUGGCAGCGAACCCGCUGUGGGAGUUCUGAGGAUGCAGCCCUCAGGUUGAGUAUGGUGGUGGUGGGGUCCCCGGGAUGCCCUUAGCCCACGUGCUGCUGUCCCCACUGCAGGAGCAGCCCGAGCUGGUAAGCCGGCAGCCUCCGCCCGGCAGCGCAGGGCCCGCGCUGGUCGGUCUCUGACUAUGCAAUCUCUAAUGGCUCUGGGUCCCUUUGAGGAGGAGGCAUUCCCUUUGCUAUUAUUAUCUAAUAAUGAGGCAGUGUUCCUGUUUUCUGAGGCUUUCUGGUUGAGCACACCGUACUCUGUGAGGAAAUACGCUCUUAUUUAUUUUCUCUCCAGAAUAUCAAAGUUGACAGCACAGAGACAUAGGUCUGUGGUCAGUUUCAGACCAUUUACCUCUCCCGGUCCCACACUCCUCUCCUUAUCAGCCACCCUGUCGCCUGCCCCUGGGCCUCCAGCCCUCUCACCCAUGUACCACCUCUUUAGAGCACUCACAGUGUACAGCACUCAGCACUUUGCUCCAAUGUACCCAUUUCAUUCUUACAAUAGCCCUAGGAGGUAAGUAUUAUUAUUGUUCUCAUUUCACAGCUGAGAAAACCUGAGGCCUGGAGAGGAUCAGGCGGUUCAGUAACUUGCGCAGGGUCACACAGCUUGUCAGCAGCAGAGCACAGAUUCAAACCCGGGCCAUCUGACUCCAUCAUUUGUGCUUUUAACUCGUGCUAUUCAGCCCCCAGGUCUGGUGCUUUUCCUGUGUGGCUCUACAUACAGAACAAACUGGAGGUACGUGACAGGUGGCAUCCGGGCCAGCGGACACCGUGGAGCCGAGGACACAGUCGAUCAGCGCAG